rnacentral:lncRNA from 1 species
CCCACUUGGAGGAAGAAGGUCUGUGCAGAUUGUGGAUAUUCACAGCAGGCAUGUUCUUCCUUCCCUUUUAGGGGCACCCUGGGAUGCCAGGAGGAGUGGGUUUUCCUGGGAUCCCUGGACCAACAGGUCCGGCAGGAGCCCGUGGUGCACCAGGGGUCCGAGGGAUGAAAGGCCGCAGGGGUGCCAGAGGGCCUGAUGGACCCGUAGGCGAGCCAGGGUCGCGAGGUGUCAAGGGCCGACCAGGGGA